ensembl:lncRNA
GAAACUAGAUUCACCCACUGCUUGUAUUUUCACAGACCUAAUUAUGGGCUUGCCACCCGGAUAACCCCAGUCCACGCAUGGCCUCCUCUGAAGCUCCCUACCACCUGGCCAGUAGCAACCCACGUUGGGCACAGUCCUCUGUGUCUUAUGCAUUAACAAAUGUAACAUUCCUGACCAACAACCUUAUGAGGCAGACCGUUUUGUUACCAAUGCUGUCUUACGGAUGAAAGAUGGGAAGCACAGAGAGGGGUCAGCAUCCCUACACUGCUGCCAGUCACUCCUGAAUCUGGACUCCCGUAGGAACUGGUCAGAGAUUAGGCAAUGAC